CUUCUCGCCAUCAGGCCUGAUCAGGGUGUUGACCUUGGCCACAUCAAUGUCAUAGAGCUUCUUCACAGCCUGUUUGAUUGGUGCUUGUUGGCCUUGACAUCCACAGAUCGGAGGAGCCACGUCAAGUCUGAGCCUCAAGCACAUCACCGGGUGGCUUUCAGGCUGAAUGCCGGGCGGCCGGGCCAGCAGGGGCUACGGCACUGCACCGGCC